GUCGUCAUAUCAGGGCUUGUUUCUGAUUGGCCAGUCGAGGAGCUGAGAAACUGUAUAAAAGAGAAGGCAGGACAGCAGAGGAGUACGACUACGAGCGUGAAUACACCGAAUUAUCUGCUUCUGAAGCCAGAAAUCAGGACCAUCAUGAAGAUCGUGUUCGUGUUCAUCGCUGUGUGCUUUAUUGCGCUCUCCUGUGCUGUUCCUGUGGAGGAUGAGCACGAACGAGAGAAGCGCUCGUCCAGUGGUGAGUCCUACCGAGGAGGACAGUUCCAGCCACCAAUCUUUCCAUACUUCCCCAACGUCAACAACAACGACAACAACGCCUGGAUGAACAUCAUCCUGCCCCUGCUGUUAGCACGCCUCUUCCCUGCCCCCGCUCCUGCCCCCGCCCCUGCAACAGGAAAAUAAGACCAGCGUGUAAUGAUCAUGUUCUGUGUGAUUGUUGGCAGUUCCUUGAAAUAAAGACACGUCCUUGAGCAU
ensembl:lncRNA